AACGAACGCUGGCGGCAGGCUUAACACAUGCAAGUCGAACGGGCAUAGCAAUAUGUCAGUGGCAGACGGGUGAGUAACACGUGGGAACCUUCCUAGAGGUACGGAACAACGCAGGGAAACUUGCUAAUACCGUAUACGCUGGAGACAGGAAAGAUUUAUCGCCUUUAGACGGGCCCGCGUAGGAGUAGGUAGUUGGUGAGGUAAUGGCUCACCAAGCCUACGAUCCUUAGCUGAUCCGAGAGGAUGAUCGGCCACGCUGGAACUGAGACACGGUCCAGACUCCUACGGGAGGCAGCAGUGGGGAAUCUUGGACAAUGGGCGCAAGCCUGAUCCAGCCAUGCCGCGUGAGUGAAGAAGGCCUUCGGGUUGUAAAGCUCUUUUACCAGGGACGAUAAUGACGGUACCUGGAGAAUAAGCCCCGGCUAACUUCGUGCCAGCAGCCGCAGUAA
rnacentral:rRNA from 1 species